UGGAUUUGUAAGCCUUUCAAACCCAAUGGAGUUUUGAGACUUUAUCUGGAAGAAGCAAACAAUCACUGUUGUGAAGCAUGUAAUUGAAAUAAGCCUGCAACACUUUCCAUAUUGUUUGGCUUGAGCUCGAUAGGACCUAGAAAACCAGGAAUUUUCAGUUUCAUAGUUGGAUUUGACCAUAUUUUAGACAAGGCAUUGAUUGGGUACUUCUUUGCUGAUAGCAGGUUAAUUAAGCCAAAAAUGGAUUCAUAACCCUGCUGAUAAGAGGUGAGAUUCUGUUUAUUCCUUUCCAUGAGUUUCUAAAGUGCUGGUCUGUCUGUAUGCAUAUGCAAAUUCAGUGACCACAAUCAUUCAAGAUAGGCUGUUCAAGGUCCCCUUACCUCACACAUUAAACAGUUUCUAAACUGGAGAGCAGAAUUGCAAUACAAAUGAGCAAAACUUCGACAGAAAACUUCAAUUUGCAACUUGUGUGUGAAAUGCAGCCCAUUUGUCAAUAGCUAGUGAAGCACUAAGAAACAGGCAAGAAAUUUUAAGUGCUUCACA
rnacentral:misc_RNA from 1 species